ACUCCUACGGGAGGCAGCAGUGGGGAAUAUUGGACAAUGGGCGCAAGCCUGAUCCAGCCAUGCCGCGUGAGUGAUGAAGGCCCUAGGGUUGUAAAGCUCUUUCACCGGUGAAGAUAAUGACGGUAACCGGAGAAGAAGCCCCGGCUAACUUCGUGCCAGCAGCCGCGGUAAUACGAAGGGGGCUAGCGUUGUUCGGCUUUACUGGGCGUAAAGCGCACGUAGGCGGACUAUUAAGUCAGGGGUGAAAUCCCGGGGCUCAACCCCGGAACUGCCUUUGAUACUGGUAGUCUUGAGUUCGAGAGAGGUGAGUGGAAUUCCGAGUGUAGAGGUGAAAUUCGUAGAUAUUCGGAGGAACACCAGUGGCGAAGGCGGCUCACUGGCUCGAUACUGACGCUGAGGUGCGAAAGCGUGGGGAGCAAACAGGAUUAGAUACCCUAGUAGUCCC
rnacentral:rRNA from 1 species